UUGGGACGAAUUAAAAGGGAUUUUGAAGAGAGGAGAAGCUCGGAGUCAAAGAACUUACCGUAAAAUUACAAGUUUCCGUGCAGGAGCUUGAUUCAACGCAAGAGAGCUUUAUCAAAUGCAGGACCAAGAGUGCAGGAGUAUCAUUUGUGUGACAACCGGCAAAAUUACAUGGCCAAAGGUAAUCGGCGCCGGAGUUUCAAUAAUCGACGGGAAGUAAGCUUCGUCUUCAACAAUCGAAGGUUCGAAACUUAACAAUGAGAAGACGUGGAAAAAGCGAGAGGAUAGCGCGUAUGUUGGCGAGUAGAUUUAGUAACACGAUAGAUUGCCCCAUUGAAUGUUCCGAUGAUGAAGAAACGGACAAUAUAGCACCGAAGAUGUUAAAAGAAACCAGGGACUAUAAGAAACCGAGGGCUUCUUCAAAGGAUGUGGACGUACAGUUUAAGAAAGAUGAUGAGGAUGGUAAAACUGGCGAUGGCCGUGGUGAAAGGCAGCCGCUGAAAAAGAGGGAACAACCGUGCGAACCGGGGGUGAUUCACGGAAAAGGCAAGUAAACAAAAAUUACAAAACUUUAAAUUGUAAUGCAAAAAACGCUUUAAUGGUUAAUGCAGAUGCAUCCGGCGAGAGUCAGAAGCGUUAUCCUCGACAUUAGUACCGGUUUCGUCUCCUUCGCCAUCAUUACCGGUUUCGUCUCCUUCGCCAUCAGUACCGUUGUCAUCUUCUUCGUCGUACUCAGAAUCGUCAUCGUCUUCUUCCUCAUCAACUUCUUCGGUAGAUGAAUCAUCCUUCGUUGGUUUACCUUUUUUAGUUGGACAAUUCCUUUUAUCAUGCUUCCUAACCCGUUUCCCACAAACACUACAUUUUCUUCUCUUUUUUUUGAAUUUCUUUAUUGCUAUUUCCCUUGCGCCAACCUGUCGUUUAUGCUUACCACAGCCUUUGUUACGGAUUUUCUUCGGUGCAGUACACGAGAGCGCCUCUGGUAUGGCAUGCGAAAGAAUUUCCUGGUAGACGACAUCCUUCUUAUUAAUCUCCGGAUCAUAUGGAACUUCUGCAAAGAUCCUAUCUUUUAAAGCUUGUACUUCUGCAUCGAGUUUCUCUAAUUUAUCAAUCUUGCCUCUCACUCUGUCUCUACACAUCUCCAAAUUCUCUAAUAUGUUGCGCCAUAAUCUUCCGCUACUGCUUUGAUCAAUAGAUAACCUGUUGUCAAUGCUAUACACACUGCUAGGAAUAGCAUCUCUCCUCCAUCUUGGGUGAAUAUAUUGAGUUGGAAUCUUAUGUAUGUUAUGAUGGCCAAGUACGCAGAACACAUGACGACAUAGAUACCCAUUUCGGGUAAAUCCCAUACACUUGCAGAUGUUUGAUCUUGGUGAGCAAUCACGAAACAGUUUACUCCAUCUAAGAUUGAUCGUUCAGCAAUGUAACUAUUCUCCUUACCCUUGACAAUUUCCUUUUGGACAUCGAAGAAUACUUUUCUAGUAUAAAUUGCGUUUGCAUGACGUUCGAUCGGCCAUUUAGUUUUGUAUUCUGGAUUAGUGGUGUCUGUUUGAUGAGAGAGUUCAUGUUGGUCAUUUCGUAACCCAUCGACGGACGUAUCGUAGCACAACAUAAACUGUACCAACGUAUUGUGUGGACUAGAGUUUGAUUUGAACAAAUGGUUGGCGCUUUCGCACCUAGAAGUAGUCUUCAUUAACGUACACAUAGGUAUUUCGCGAAAAUAUCCUGGGAUCCACUGUUCACGAAUCAAAUACAUCUCAGUCAACCAGGAAUGCUCUUGCAAACCGUACUCAGCAAUUAGUAAAUGCCAUCUCUUUUCAAAUGUUUCUGGUUUGAUGUAAACAUUCCAUACUAGUUUGUGGAAUUUUUUCUUGAUUUCCGCGUUCCUUUUGUCGUUACCCUU
rnacentral:lncRNA from 1 species